CCAAGCCUGGCUUAAAAACCUUCGCCACCGGGCGGCGGGAUUACAAAGGAAGUCGCCUGCCUCCUUUGUCCUGGAUCUGGGAGCUGAGUACCUUCGUCGCCAUUGGCCUUCCUCUCCCAGCUCCAGCCUCUCUCACCUUGGGAAUCUGCGUCAGAAGUCGCUCGCAGUCCCGCCAGCCCAGUAAGAAGGAGUGAAGCAGGCGCCCGCAGGCCUGAGCCUGUGGAAAAACAGCUGUGAAGAUAAUGAAGCUCCCGAUUUUCAUAGCUGAUGCGUUCACAGCAAGAGCAUUCCGUGGGAAUCCUGCUGCUGUUUGCCUCCUAGAAGAUAAAUUGGAUGAAGACGUGCAUCAAAAAAUUGCCAAGGAAAUGAACCUCUCUGAAACUGCUUUUAUUCGAAAACUGCACCCAACAGACAACUUUACACAAAGUUCCUGCUUCAGACUGAGGUGGUUCACACCAGCAAGUGAGGUCCCACUCUGUGGCCACGCCACCCUGGCUUCUGCAGCUGUGCUGUUUUACAAAACAAAAAACAUGAACAGCACCCUCACCUUUGUUACUCUGAGUGGGGAACUAAAGGCCAGAAGAGCCGAAGAUGGGAUCAUCUUGGACCUGCCUCUCUACCCAACCCAGCCCAAGGAAUUCCAUGAAGUGAAAAACUUGAUAAAGUCAGCCAUAGGCGACACGCUGGUCCAGGAUGUCUGCUAUUCUCCAGAUACUCAAAACCUCCUUGUCCGGCUCAGUGAUUCUUACGACAGGUCAUUUCUGGAGACCCUGAAAGUGAACACGGCGAAUCUGACACAAGUGGAGAACACAGGGAAGGUGAAAGGACUCAUUCUCACCCUCAAAGGAGAGCCUGCUGGGCAGACCCAAGCAUUUGACUUCUACUCCAGAUAUUUUGCACCAUGGGUCGGUGUGGCGGAAGACCCUGUAACAGGGUCUGCACACACUGUUCUCAGCAGCUACUGGUCCCAGCAACUGGGGAAGAAAAACAUGCAUGAUUUAUUUGGUUCUCUUGAUGCUGAAGAUCAAAGCCAGGGUCUUGUGCAUGGUCCAAGACACUUGCUACAAGGUUUCAGAGACCAUAUUUACUCACCUGGAGCUGGGGAGUCAGAAAAUAUGUCCUACAGGCAGUGACAUCUGAGAUGGACUGCAGGGAACAGACAAGAUUUCUCAUCCUUACGAAAAUGAGAGGGAAUCACCUAUGAAUAAUUGGACAGCUGGAGAAGAUAAGUGGGAUGAUUCAGAUGCCUGAACUCUGUCAGAAGAGGUUUUUAUCCUCACUCAAAUGGCCAGGAUGGCUUCAGCCAGGCCAAAGAACAAUCAGUAAUAGUACCUCCGACUUUAACACCGUGAGCCUCUGAGAAAUAACACGCCGGUCAGGCUGCCUGCUGAAAGGGUAUUGAAUUUAUGCAGCUCUACUCUGAAGACUUUUGAGAAUCAAUUCCUCUACUUGUUCAACUGGGAGCCUUGAGGGCACUGCUGAUUUUCCUCAGCUGUUUGUAAACCUUGCUUGUUAAAGGAUCUUGGCUCUACGUACAGGAGGUUGCUCUCGAUUGCUGCGGAGAGGCAGACUAUGAUUUCAGGUAGGUGUACACUGUGUACUAGCAGCUCUCUGCCCUCCUGCUAUUGUUAGCUAUCUGGGACACUGCUCUGCCUCUCCAGGACACAUUUGCUGCUCUGGCUUCUGUGAGCUGUGCUUGGUGCUUAGCCCAAGUGGAAGAACAAGAGGUGCUGACCUGCACAGAUGAAUCACCUCUCUGCUUGGGACUCUCUCCUAUGUAUUGUGCCUAAUGCCUUCAAGUCUGGAGCAUGCCCAGAAGAGUUCCCAGCUCCACAGUGGUCUUCUCUGAGAUAUGAUUUGGAUUUUAGAUUUCCUUGUCUAUUAGUUUCCUUCUGAAUAGAGGUGUAUUUACUAUGAAACCAAUGAAAAAUUAGGUUUCUGAACUGGGGAUGUAGCUCAGUGGUUGAGCAUUUGCUAACAUGUGCAAAGCAGAGCCCUGGGUUCCAUUCAUGUGUAUGGCUUCCUUCUAAGGCCCUAUGCUCAAUUGUAUAUUCACAAUUUUGUGUUAUCCUAAAAAGGCCUUUCCAAAUUAUAUAUACUAAUAUACUACCAGGUCCACAAAACUUGGAUAUGUCUCCUCCAGAUGGAAUUUCUACAUUUUGGGAAUUUCUAAGAAUUUCAGAUUUAUAGAUGGCAUUUUGUUGUUUUUCAGUUAGGUUUUGGGGUGUUGGAAGGGAAGGCACAUGUGAUUAUCUGCUAUUUUGAUGAUUCUCUUUUCACAGUCAGAUCACUUCUAAUUGGCCUUCUGCACCCAUCACUCUCUUAAAACUGCUCUUCAUGGAGUCACUGACGGCCUCUAUAUCAUAUAAUAUUUUCCAGUUUUCAUCCAACUUGACCUCUAAUUAGCAUUCAGUGUAGUUGACUACUUAUUGUCUUGAAGCAACUCUUCUUCUGUACGACUGCCUCCAUUCUCCUCCUGCCAUUUAAGGUGCGCCUUCCUAGUACAGUUUCUUUUGGGGCAGUCUUCCUCACUGACUCAAAUGUUAAAUCUUGAAUUUCCUUUGCAACACUGUCUAGCCAGCAGUUGAUAUUCAGAAAACUCAACAGCUGAUUCAGAAUGGAUGCUCCAGACAAUUAGUAAGACGAAAACCAUAAGCACCCUUAAGUGUUAUAUCAAUUGCACUGAUUAAAUUAAUCACCCUGGGGCUAUGGCAAUUCUUUUCUGACAAAAUAAUGAAAAAGAAAAUUGAGGCUGAUUCCAUACUCAAACAAAAAUGUAAAAGUUCUAAAACCUCAGUUGCCUAUGAACUAGCACAAACAAUCAACAAGUGGGAUCUCUUCUUAUUAAAAGGC